rnacentral:lncRNA from 1 species
UCGCUGUUUUAAAUUGUGUAUUUCAUAUAUUUUUGUUUGUUUACUUCGAAAUUAUUUUAUCUGUAAGAAUCUGUAAAAUAACCCUUUUCGGACCUUACACUUAAGGCUCCGCCUACUUUUUAAAACUAGCACGGGCUUCAGAAACAGCGGGUAAUCAGUUUGAAAAGAUUUUUCGACAGCGAUGGAUGCAUCUUUACAUUGGUGACGAAAAAAAUGUUUUAGAUGUUCUGGAUAAGGACACAAGAAACUUCUAGUACAGAUUUCUGAUAUUUUGGAAGAUUGCUGCAAUGCCAAUCUUACGUACAAUUGAACUGCAAAGGGUAUGUUUUUUU